UACGUAGGGGGCAAGCGUUGUCCGGAUUUAUUGGGCGUAAAGAGCGUGUAGGCGGUUUGGUAGGUCCGUUGUGAAAACUCGAGGCUCAACCUCGAGACGCCGAUGGAAACCAUCAGACUAGAGUCCGGAAGAGGAGAGUGGAAUUCCUGGUGUAGCGGUGAAAUGCGCAGAUAUCAGGAAGAACACCAGCGGCGAAGGCGGCACUCUGGGCCGGUACUGACGCUGAGGAGCGAAAGCGUGGGGAGCAAACAGG
rnacentral:rRNA from 1 species